rnacentral:lncRNA from 1 species
CAUGCUACUUGUACUUAUUUAUUCACAUUUUGGUUUAUUCAGGACCAUCUCCUCCUCUUACAUGGGGGUCGAACCCCACAUCAUGACCCCACAUGGGAUCCGACCUCAUGUGAGAGGAUUGGUGGGGUCGAAUAACUCAAAGUGUCAACAAACAAGUACAAAUAACUUAAAUUCUUACUUCUUUCAUAAACGUGUGAUAACAAAGAAUCACUACCUUCUGGAAAACAGGUAACAUGCUUCAUUUGUCAAAUAUUAUUGUAGAAUAUAGUUGUUGCUCUGUCAAAAAAAAAAAAAAAAAUUAUAGUUGAUGACAUAAAUGUAAUCCACCCUGUAUCAUCUAGAAUCAAGUUCAUAAAUUCACCCCAAACCCAAUCAUUAGACUAUUCACCCUCACAAUACAACUAUAAAUAGAUCAGUAAGUCGUGUGAGUUCUUCCCAUCUUCCAUCAAACUUCUUAGUGCCUUCUUUGCAAAGAAAAAUGGGUCUUAAAGGUAAAUUAACAUCCCAAAUGGAGACGAAGGUUGGUGGAGAUGUAUUUCACGAACUCUUUAGGUACAAACCACAACAAUUACCCAAUAUCAGUCCUACUAACAUUCAAGGCUGCGAUUUGCAUGAAGGAGAGUGGGGAAAUGUAGGUUCUGUCUACUUCUGGAGGUACACUCAUGGUAAGCCAACGUUGUUUAGUAUAAAACAUUAGACUAUAUUUUAAAUUGCCCAAUACUAUCUAAUUUACCCUAUUGAACGUUGGAUAAUGUGAUUAUCUGGCUUUUUCUUGUACGAUGUUUGUAAAAUUUGAAAUAAUUGUAGAUGGGAAGCAGGAAGUAGCAAAAGCCGUAAUCGAAAGCAUAGAUGAGGAAAAGAGGUCACUUACAUUUAAGGUCGUCGAGGGUGAUCUGAUGAAGUUGUACAGGGCCUUCAAAGGAGGUUUACAUGUUGAAACUCAUGGUGGCAUUGAUUUGGUGACAUGGAAUCUUGAGUACGAAAAGCUAAAUGAUGAUGUUCAAGAACCACUCUCAUUGUUGAGCUUUUGCAUUAAACUUGCAAAAGAUGUUGAGGCACACCAUCUCAAGGCCACUUGAUAAGGAUAGGGUUCUCUGCUUGCAUGAGUUAUAGAAACUCAUCUAGCCACCUUCGUUUGUGUGUUUUUGUUGUUAUUUUAUGAACAAUAGUUGACCGGUGAAGUUUGUGAUAAAAUAAUAUUGGGUGUUCCUCCUCCAUCUAGUAUGUAUGGGGCACUAUGGCUUUUUCUUGAAUUAAUUGAAAAUUUUAUUUUGUGAGAAUUACAAUAUUGCCUAUUGGUAUUAUAGUUUUCAGUCUCUUAGAAAUUUGGAAUGGAAGAGAUGUAGGUUCAAAUCAACUCGAUCUAGUUAGAUAAAAAGGGUUGAAAUUGUAGAGAAACGAAUAGUAGAGUUUUGCGAACCAUUAAGUGAAAAGAGGCAAUUUAUUUCAACAAUCACCUCCCUAAUGAAAGCAAGCCACUCCUAGAAGUUACCUUGCUCCUCUAACAUCAUUGACACUAUAUACACAUUGGAAAGAUGAUAUCUGCAACUUAAGCCCAAA